rnacentral:rRNA from 1 species
UACAGAGGGUGCGAGCGUUUAAUCGGAAUUACUGGGCGUAAAGCGUGCGUAGACGGUUAUUUAAGUCGGGUGUGAAAGCCCCGGGCUCAACCUGGGAAUUGCAUUCGAGACUGAAUAGCUAGGUACGGUAGAGGAAGUGGAAUUCCGGUGUAGCGGUGAAAUGCGUAGAUAUCGGAAGGAACAUCAGUGGCGAAAGCGACUUCCUGGACCAGUACCGACGUUCAGGCACGAAGCGUGGGAGCAAACAGG